CUGUAAUACAACUAAAUCACCGUUCUCUGUACAAUGUGUGAGCGACGAGCCUAGUGGAUUCGCGGCACAACACACGGGCCGGCCGACGACACCGUAUCUGGGCGUUACCAAUAGAUAACAAUGAUGACGCCCUGCACUUACGAUUCACUAAAAAGAGUUAUUUUACCCUUUCAUGUGUGACUUCAACAAAUUCCUUUCAUGGAGAAUAUAUUAACUGACGAGUGACCUUCUCUUCACCGGGAAUAGUCACAAACAGUCAAAUAAGCUACAAAAAGCGAUAGCCCAAAACACGAUCCGUUGUACGGUCGACAUAGUGGUAUAGUAAAUAUAUAAUACUGGUCGUUAAUGCAACUCGAAAUUCACCGUGCUUAUAAUACCAUCGUACGCAUACCGCAUAGCAGGGC